ensembl:antisense
CAAGUGGUGUAGGGUGAGGCAGUCAGAGCAGUCACUUUGGCCUUUGAUGUCUUUUCCUUCAGAUCUGUCCCUCAUAUGGUCAGUGAACUCUGAGAUCUGCGAUGGCUGCUUUUGCUUGAGUGUCGAGAUACGUCCUUUUGACCCCUGGAGUAGGCUGUAGGAGCCACUGUCCUGUUUGGAUC